CAUUGUUCGGUGGUUGAAUCGGCUCAGUGCCGAUCCAUGUACAAAACAGAUCACACCAGGUAGAGAGAGUGAGAGCACAUCUUACUGCUGAUCGGAAAAAGUUCUAUGAAUAUAUAAUAGAGAGGUCGCAGUUUCAUUAAUCAGGUUUCCUGUGUAUCUUGUAACGAGGGGAUUCUGUUCGUUGAUCAGUGAGGAGUGUGAAACCUUAGAUGGCGAGCCAACCAACUGGAUCUUCUGGAGUCUCUGCGAACUUGAACUUCAAAUCCUGAGAAACAUUAUGUGGUGGGUUACAAAAUGAUUAACUGAUUAUCAGCAAACGUGACCAACUCUAUAAAAGCAGAUGUUUUGGCAGUUUGCUGCUCUGGAGCCCUCAGUGAAAGAGAUUAUUUAGAAUUGGAAAACAUUCAAAACAGUUGCAAAUCUUCCCAGGAUGGACGUCCCAGCAGAUUCACCCCAAGAUCAGACCGUGCAAUGCUCAGAGAAACUGCAAAAACACAAGAGCUACACCUCAGACUCUACAGGCCUCAGUUAACAUGUGAAAUGUAAAAUGACUGGGAGAAACGCUCUAAAAAGAUCACAGCAGCACGGCUUAGGUUUGCAAAAUUGCAUCUGAACAAACGUCAAGUCUUCUGGAACAAUGUCCUUUGGAAAGAUGAGACCAAAGUGGAGAAAGUCAUACAGAAAAUGAUUACUUCAAGUUAUUGUUGUUAAAGGUGGUUCUACAAGCUAUUGAAUCAUCAGGUGCACUUAGUUUUUCACACGUCUCCAUUUUGGCCUAGUUUUUGUUAAAUGAAUAAUGACCAGGGUUGGGGAAAGUUACUUUUAAAAGUAAUGCAUUACAAUAAUGCGUUCCUCCCUAAAAAAAGUAACUAAUUGCGUUACUUAGUUACUUUUUUAUGGAAAGUAAUGCGUUACAUUACUUUUGUUUACUUUUGCUCACCUGGGCUGGGCUGGGCUUGUUUGUUUUUUAAUAACAACAAAAAAGUUCUAUUUUUGGCAAAUGUUAAAGCCCUUUCACACCAAAAGUGAAACGAAUAAGCCUCAGGGUGAAGGAAAUGCAUAUUUACUCCUGUACAGUAGAGGGCGCAGCUCAAACAAACUUUUCAGCUGUGCUGCCAUUCUGGAUUGCAGAAGAAUAGCAUACAGGAGAAGAGAAGGGUCUGGCAGCAGACCGUGGGUGAGUGGAGCUCCACUCUCGAACAGGAAAUAUGUCACCUCCACUUGUGUUUUACUAACGUCUACACCUACCCCAACCCUAAACCUACCCUUACAAUAAUGCAAAUACAGUCAUUAAAUGACGCAAAAUUAAUUUGUGUUUUAUUAAUGUCUACAACUACCCCAACCCUAAACCUACCCUCACAAUAAGCUCCACUAGUGGAGGUGACGUAUUUCCGCCAUUGAGUGGAGCUCCACUCGCCCCCUCAGGCUGUAGCCAGCCCCUAUUGCAGGAGAAGGAAGUUCAAAACUCUUAUUUCUAAAUCUAAUCUAAAGUAUUUUUUUUUUUUUUUUUUUUUUUUUUUUUUUAAUAUGGUUGAAUUAGGCCAUUGAAAGUCAGCAGCAAAGAUAUUGGUUAAUAAAGUGAGAUUAAAUACAUAAAGUAUAUGUGUUGUUGUUCUUCUGAGGUUGUAUUUACCUAAUUUUAAGACCUGCUAAAGACCAGAUGAUUUUUUUUAUGUCCUGAUUAGA